rnacentral:rRNA from 1 species
CACGUAGGCGGCUUUUUAAGUCAGAGGUGAAAUCCCGGGGCUCAACCCCGGAACUGCCUUUGAAACUGGGAAGCUAGAAUCUUGGGGAGGCGAGUGGAAUUCCGAGUGUAGAGGUGAAAUUCGUAGAUAUUCGGAAGAACACCAGUGGCGAAGGCGACUCGCUGGACAAGUAUUGACGCUGAGGUGCGAAAGCGUGGGGAGCAAACA